rnacentral:rRNA from 1 species
GUGGGGAAUAUUGCGCAAUGGGGGAAACCCUGACGCAGCGACGCCGUGUGAGGGAAGAAGGCUUUCGGGUCGUAAACCUCUGUCAGAAAGGAAGAACCUCCCAAGUCCGAAUAGGGCUUGGGACUGACGGUACUUUCAAAGGAAGCACCGGCUAACUCCGUGCCAGCAGCCGCGGUAAUACGGAGGGUGCAAGCGUUAAUCGGAAUCACUGGGCGUAAAGCGAGCGUAGGCCGCUUUGUAAGUCGGACGUGAAAGCCCUCGGCUCAACCGGGGAACUGCGUUCGAUACUGCGAGGCUUGAGUCCUGGAGAGGGUGGCGGAAUUCCGGGUGUAGGAGUGAAAUCCGUAGAUAUCCGGAGGAACACCGGUGGCGAAGGCGGCCACCUGGACAGGUACUGACGCUGAGGCGCGAAAGUGUGGGGAGCAAACAGGAUUAGAAACCCCAGUAGUCC